rnacentral:rRNA from 1 species
GACGAACGCUGGCGGCGUGCCUAACACAUGCAAGUCGAACGGAGAUAUGAUUUCGGUUGUAUCUUAGUGGCGAACGGGUGAGUAACGCGUGAGCAACCUGACACUUAGAGGGGGAUAACACUCGGAAACGGGUGCUAAUACCGCAUAAGACCACGACAUGGCAUCAUGACGAGGUAAAAGGAGCAAUCCGCUGAGAGAGGGGCUCGCGUCCCAUUAGAUAGAUGGCGGGGUAACGGCCCACCAUGUCAACGAUGGGUAGCCGAGCUGAGAGGCUGAUCGGCCACACUGGAACUGAGACACGGUCCAGACUCCUACGGGAGGCAGCAGUGGGGAAUAUUGGGCAAUGGGCGCAAGCCUGACCCAGCAACGCCGCGUGAGGGAAGAAGGCUUUCGGGUUGUAAACCUCUGUCCUUGGUGACGAAACAAAUGACGGUAGCCAAGGAGGAAGCCCCGGCUAACUACGUGCCAGCCGCCGCUGUAACAC